ensembl:rRNA 5S_rRNA 5S ribosomal RNA
GUCUACGGCCUUACCACCCUGAAUGUGCUUGAAUUCAUCUAAACUCGGAAGCUAAGAAGGGUCCUGCCUGGUUAGUACUUGGAUGAGAGAGAACAGAAGGAGACAUGUCCC